GGAACGUUCCCUGGGGAAUGACUCUCCUGUCACUUCGUCUUGAGGAAGGGGUUGUUCCUGCAGUGGUAAAGAAACCAUGGACCAAGUGGGCUGUUGGGCAGAGGAGUCCCCACGGAGUUGGCCCUUUAUGUAUAUUGCCUCUUUGAAUCCUUAGGUGAUUAACUCGUGGAAAUCAACAGCUCCAGGGCCAGCUACCAUUGGAGGGGACAGUCAGGCCUAGCUCUUAGAAACCUGGUGACACUUAGGAAGUUUGACUGCAAAGCCUCCCCUGCUCUCUGGCUCUCUGAGACCCACCUCAGCCCUGUGGGCCAAGCACCCAUGUAUCUCUCCUGUCAGGAGAAAAUAAAAUGUCUGGUGAAGUUAUUCA
rnacentral:lncRNA from 1 species